UGAACGACCAAAAGAUGAAGAUAUAUUUGAUUUUCGCAUUACUUUUUUGUUUUAUAUCGCACAUUUUUAUGGGCGUUACUCCAAAGAAUAGCGAUCCAAACGCUCUUGAGAAAACUCGUCGGGACUACUUUCGCGCGUUUACAAAAGAAGAAUAUGAAGCAGCGGGUUCGCCGAAAACCGCUUUUGAGUCACCAAUGGCGGAGAUGCACAGAAUGAUAAAGCUCAAAAUAUCGUCAGAAGCAUCCCCGAAUGCACCGCUAAAAGCAACAUCGAAAAACGAUGGGAAAAAGAAAAAGAAUUUCCUUCCUAGUUUCAAAAAUUGUUUGAAGCCCAGCACAAAAGAAUGAACGAGUCGGUAAAAAAGUAUACGCUUACGUCAAUUUUGAUUACACUUGAGUAAACAAUUGUGAAAACCAAACACUAUUCGAUGAAAUAAAGUUCAUUCUACAACAAAUUUGAUGCAACACA